rnacentral:misc_RNA from 1 species
GCAGUAUCAUAUAUUUUCUAGUUGAUAUAAACGAUCUAUACAACAUCUCAUGACAUAAGCUACAUUACAAGUUCAAUAGCUAGUUCAAAAUCCAAAUUUUAGAACGAAUGACAUACUCCCCUGUCCCAAUUUAUAUCACACACUUUCUUUUUAAACCGUCCCAAAAAGAAUAACACAUUUUUAUAUUUAGUAAAAGUUUAAACUUAAAAAACCCCAUUACAAACUUAACGAGAUAUAUAUAGUCAUACGAACAUCUAUG